ACAACAGCAGUAUGUAAAUGCAAUUUCCAUGCAAGAAAUAGUUUGUAUUUUCUAGAUACAACGUGAUGCAGUUUUGUGCUUAUUGUUCCAUUUAGGAAAAAAAAAAAAAACGCAAGUGAAAGAAAUUGAACGAGAAGCAGAAAAGGAAUUAAAUAAAAGUUAGGCGAGCACACGAGAUGUCAACAAAGAGUGCUUUACGAGACUGCAUAUGAUUAAAAAGUAUAUGCAUGCAUGCACUCUUCUUACAGGCUGCAUGUAAAAUGCAUUUCUCGCAUAGAUGCAUAUAUGUGUAUAUACGUACGUGGAGGUACACUUGAAAUUUAAAUAAAAGAAGUAGUAGAAGAAAAUUGCAAAAAGAAAAGUGAGUGCAACAUACACUUGUUUUUGCCUUGGGCUAGAGCAUGGCUCUAUUGGGCGACUAGGUUGCAUAUAAAAUUUGCAUAUAUACUGGUUUGUUUUUUAUUUAUUUAUUUUUUUUUUAUUCAUUAACCUACUGUAUGUAGGGGCACAAACGCAAAUAAAUGCACUGAUGAGCUAAGUUCCGUAAAGUCGACCAGAAAUUUCUUAACACGUAUUUAAGGAGAAAAAAUAAAAGAGAAAGCAUAAAAAAAGGAGAAUAAAAAGAAGGAAAAGCAUCUCAAGUGCAGUAGUCUCCUUGAAAAGUGAGUGAAAACAAACUCAAAUUUAAAUGGGUUGUUAAAGGCUACCUACUUUUUCACAAUUACUUUCCCUUAAGGAAUUUAUGAGAGUCUUUCCCUUUUUUUCUAACGUAAAGCUUUUCAUCUGUGACCCCUUAGUAUGGAUGCCAUUUAAAUUCUUUAAGCUAUUCAAUAUAAAAAUUUUAGUCGGACCAUUGUUUUGUUGCACACAAUGUAUAUAAUUUUUUGAUCAUUGCCAAUAAAGCUGAUAAAUUCCAAAUAAUGCUUAAGGUUUACGCGAUAGAUUGAGUUGAGGGUAAGAGUAAAGCGAAAAAGAAGGACGAUCACAUUAGCGACGCGGGGCUAUAAGAACAAAUAAAUAAUCGUACGUCUUUUUGCGUUGUGGAUUUACUAUUUAGACAAUGCAGACCUCCGUCCCGUUUUUUAUAUACUUUUAUCAAAUAUUAAGUCGGUAGCUGCUAUAUUCUGUAAGCAACUUUAGAUGCCUUUUUUAUUAUUAUUAUUAUUAUAAUACCCUACACCACGUGUUGGACAAACAUACAUUAAGUUUCGGCAGAAGUACUUCAGAUAGACCCAAAUUUCCGAAAGUUUUUCUAAACCUGUUUGUGCGUUCGUUUUGCAUUUUCUUCUUCAACCUACAAGCCGCAAUUUUUUGAGAUAUUUUGAUGAAAUUUGAUUCGGAUCGGAACUCUUUUCCAGCCACUUCCCAUAUAAUGCCCUGUUAUGUUGAAAGUCCAUUAUAUGAAUAACCGUAUUAAACAAGGUGGUGUAGGGUAUUUAAUGUUCGCCCAUGUCCAACUAGAAUGUGCUUGCUUGCUUUUAAUUUAAUUUUUUUUUUUAUGCUACUAGUGUAGGCACCUUGAAAAAUAUAUCAACGAAUCAGACUUUACUUCGGCACGGCCAUAUUAAUUUUCAUAUUUAUAAGCCAAUUAUUGCUAUCAUGGGACAGAAGUACAACGUAGAAGCAGAAUAAGAAGAUCAUGAAUAUAUAUACUAAUACGAUAAAUAAGCAAGAUUUUUCAUGUCUUUCAAAUAAGAUUAAGCUAUAGGUUUUCCAUAUAACAUCUUCAUGGAACGCAAGACACUUAGCAGGUAAUGUACUUUUGAAAUUUCCAAAUAGACAACUGCCGCUAAAGACCUAAAUCGAAGAACGCGACGAUGGUGGACAGUAUUCAUACAAAUUUGUCUCUGUGCCCUAGUUACACUUCAAAGUUAUAAAUCCGAAUAAGCCGGUAACGUUCAAAAAGUGAACUUGAGCUGGCGCCGUACCCUUGUUAUAGGUUCACUCAAAACACCGACUCUUACGACCAUAUGAAGAUGUUCGCCUCCAUAAAACCUUUCAAAUAUCAUUUUUGAAUGUGUAAGAAAUCACUUAAUAAGAAGGGAAAAACAGUAAAAAGAAGAAAUUUGCAAGACAACAUUAACCAUUAAAUCCUAUCUUAUCAGUGACUUGGCCGCACUCUUCUCUCAUUUGGAGUUUUGAUAGGCAAAGACUUUCAUUGUUGUGGUAAGGAAGAUAUUUUAUAAUUUUUUGAAAAAACCAACUAAGAAAUGAAUGGAAAGGACCACUUAAGUUUCUCGACUCGAUUUUUGUGUCCACGAUAACGAUAAAGGAACAUGUUCGGUUCAUUUGACCAAAACUCUCAAUACAGUUUAUACUGCUGUUUAUAAUUUCUAAGAAAAUCUUUUGUGGAAGUGUAACAAUGUGUUAAUGAUUUUUUAUACCAUUUUUUUAAGCUGCUUGAUGAUUGGCAGCAAUGAUGACUAAAUGUCUUAAACAAAGACAUUUCGUUGGACAGAGCACGAGUAAAAAAAGAUAUCACAAAGGCAUAUCACAACAUAAAUAAUGAACCUUCUCCACCUGACUGCUUGACAUAGUGCAUGUUACUGAUACACUUUAAAUCGGUAACGUAUACAAUAGCGACGAUCAACCCUUUUCUGCGCUAACACUAAUGAGGGCAAAAAAUCGAGGUGGACUGUAAAAAAAGUUGUAAAAUACAUUUACCACAUACCUGUAGAUUGCAGCAGAAAACCAAACCGAGAAUUGCAUAAGGCUAAAAAAAAAGAUAAGACAUUAAAAGAGAUAUACGCAUUAAAUUUUAUAUAUUUUACUGAGGAUUAAGGUAGCAAACUAAAAUCACCGAUAAUGCUGAGGGAAAGGUUAACAAUUCGUUAUUGUUAUGAACACAUUUUGGAAAUUUUAUAAUUUUCGGUAAAACAAUACCAAAGUCAGAAAUGUCCAAAACUCGAGCACAAAUCAUAAUUGUUGUUGAACAAGACAACGUACGAAAGCACCAAUAAUCAGAAGAUUUACAGCCUACGAAAAACUGUCAUCAUAUAAAAAUUCCUGACGUGGCUGGUUAAAUACCUAACAUACAAUAAUGUAUGUACGCGCACAUUGGGUUUGAACAAAAGCUGUAUCGUUUACAUUUAAAGGAAAAAAUUUUAUAUUUCAACAAAUAGUUAAACGAACUAUUGCUUCAUUUACUUUACAAUUCAGAAAAUCCUUCCGUCCUUGAUUUUUCCUGAAAGCAAAACUCUUUAAGCUAUCGAAACAGUAAAAUUUUAGUCU